rnacentral:rRNA from 1 species
UACGUAGGGUGCAAGCGUUAAUCGGAAUUACUGGGCGUAAAGCGUGCGCAGGCGGUUUUGUAAGACAGAGGUGAAAUCCCCGGGCUUAACCUGGGAACUGCCUUUGUGACUGCAAGGCUUGAGUGCGGCAGAGGGGGAUGGAAUUCCGCGUGUAGCAGUGAAAUGCAUAGAUAUGCGGAGGAACACCGAUGGCGAAGGCAAUCCCCUGGGCCUGCACUGACGCUGAGGCGCGAAAGCGUGGGUAGCAAACGGG